CGUAGGAUGAUCAAUGGAUUUUCUUGUUACCUUCGGAGCAAUAUUCAGAUGCAGACAUAUGAAAUAUGAAGUUAAAAGAAAUAGAACAAAUUGAGGAGAUCUACAAUACAGGUGAAAAUAGCGAGAAGAAAUGAAAGUAAAGGUUUCACUUGCAGAUUGCAUAAUAAGAACACUGCUUGAUUCGACAGUUUUUCAUUGCAUCAAAACAUGAAGAUCGAAGAUACGAAUAAGCAAACGAAACCAGAGAAUGAUCAACAAGUUUCCUCACUUAAUGGAAAUGGAAUCUUGACGACAUUCUCUGUUCACAGAAAAAAAAUUUAAGUUGAAAAUACAACAAGUAUUCAAAUAUAAAUGUGAGUUUCAUCAAAGAUGACUAUGAUUGGCUCACAAAUAAAAUGCAUUGAACCACACUUAUGUGAAAAAGACUUUAAAUAUAAAUAAAGGCUGUUUUACUCUACUCGGUGACAUACAUACAUUGAUCAUAUUUGUAUGCAUACAAAUGGAUUACAUUCAGAGCUUUAACAUGGGUCGACCCAACUGUUUAUGUGAUGAUUGCAAACAGAUUCUUGAUUACAAAUCAAAGCAAUUGUGUUUAUUACUUUACAAUACAAUUCCCAUAUUUGAUGUCAUAGCAAGAUGAAUAUGAAAUUGUUUUCAUUGAAAUAUAUUGCAUUAAUGAAUUUUAUGGAAUUCUCUUGUGGAAUUUUUAUCACAACACAGUAUUGUUUAUAUUUGCAUAAAUUUUCUUUCAAUCAUUCUAAUUUUAAACAUUUAUAUCUGCAACAGUCUAAUACUUGAGCGUAAAGGCAACGGCGAUCGACAUUUUUGUCAUACCUAAAUUAUACCAAUGUUGUCCUGACGAAUUGGUAUACAAAAAAUGGUUAUAUAUAUAUAUAUAUUAUUUCAAUAUAUAUAUAUCACUUGUGUGUUAAAUUGAAGAUUCUAACAAUAUUUAUUUACCAGUUUGUGGCAAAAACCAGAUAGUCUAUCUAUGGUUGUCAAUGCCGCCAUAACACAAACCUUUUUAUUACUUCAUAUCUUCUUAUCAACACUGCCUAUUCAACGUGAGAAAUCUUGUGACAAACCAGGCCGGCAUGGCUUUGUCUCAUCAUCUUCAACGUCAACUUCUUCAAAAACAUUACAAAAUACACUUACAUAUACAGGGGUAGGGAGGGGGUUGGGGGUUCUGGGAAAUGGUGGUGGACCCUGGGAGGGAGAGGUAAACACAGCAUUGCAAUCAUAAUUAGGCGAUUUUGGUUUUGUCAAUUCUGAUAUAAAAUAUUCAUAGAUUCCGGUAAUAGGAUGGUCAGAUAGAGGUC